rnacentral:lncRNA from 1 species
GCGGUUUCCACUAGAUAGCACAGCCACAAAGUCAAAAUGGUCUGUCGUAAAAAAUGCAUGUCAACAAAAAUGAGCUUUUUGGUCUUAAUUUAAUCCUACCAGUUUAUGAAUCUGGAGACACUGGAGGUGUUUGGGGUGGAGAGGACAGUGGACUCAGUGGAGGACAUCCCAUCCACUUGGCAGUAAGGGCAUGCCGGGCGUGAGCCUACUGUUUCUGUUUCUCGUUCCAAACAGCCUACCAGUUUAUGAAUCUGGAGGUGUUUGGGGUGGAGAGGACAGUGGACUCAGUGGACGACAUCCCAUCCACUUGGCAGUAAGGGCAUGCCGGGCGUGAGCCAACAGCCCAGCUCUGACCAACGGCGAAGUCAGCUCAAAAUUAUUUGAUUGCUUUUGAAUAAAAAUGAAAAAUAGUUUGAAAUAUCGAACAUAUAUUUACAGAAAAUAGAUUUAUGUUUCUGAAUGAUGCACCAUGCUGCUUUGUUGACAACAUGACUGAGCUGCUCAAGAUUACUGUUCCAUUUGAGAAGGGCGCUCCUCCCUCACCGCGUUUUACCUUUCACGUCACUGACCAUAGCUGGGUGCACCGCAGCUCAGGUUAAUAGAACUCCCUCAGUGUUGGCACUGCUACUUCCUACCUGAUGGGUAAGAGGACAUCACACACAGAAUUAGGAGUCUUCCCAUAUUUACAUGUUUGGGUGUAUGUGUGUCAGAGGUGAGGGAUGAUAAGCCAGUGUUUGAGUAGAAGCGUCUAGUGUGUGAGGAAUUGUGGAUGCACUCCAAUUUCCUGAACAGAAAGGUGACAUUAAGUAUUUCUCUACACCCUAACCAUUAACCCCUACUCUCACCCUGGCCCUAGCCCCUUACUUUCAAACCAG